rnacentral:lncRNA from 1 species
GAAGAUCUCCCAUCAUCAUCGUCAUCUUCAUCAUCAUCGGCGUUGGAAGAGCCCUUCGGCGGCGUCAACGUCAACGUUUUGAAGAGCCCGCCCAUUGGUGUCGGCCUUGGAAGAGCCCCGUCGUCAUCGUCAGCGUGAUGAAGAUCUCCCAUCAUCAUCGUCAUCAUUGGAAGAGCCUUCCUCCUCAUCA